rnacentral:rRNA from 1 species
GCGCGCUACACUGACAGAGCCAGCGAGUACUCCCUUGACCGAAAGGUCCGGGUAAUCUUGUGAAACUCU